rnacentral:lncRNA from 1 species
CCCAAGCAGACACCACGACGGCCCUCAAGAAACUUCACUGGACUCGAUGUAAAUAGGAAACCAUAUAUCCCGAUGCUGCCUUCAUUGUAGCUGGGGAUUUUAACAAAUUCAAUUUGAGAAUAAGGCUACCUAAAUUUUAUCAGCACCUUGAUUGUAGCACUCACGCGGGAAAUACACUGGAUCACAAGGCCCUCCCCUGCCCUCCCUUCGGCAAAUCCGACCACGUCUCCAUUUUGCUCCUACCGUCCUAUAGGCAGAAACUCAAACAGGAUGUACCCGUGACAAGAACCAGAAUCCGGAAUCAAGCGGACUGGGAAAUGUUCCGGCUAGCCUCAGAGAAUUACAUCGAUUUAUACACUGAUUUGUUUAGUGAGUUGCUUAAGGAAGUGCAUUGGAGAUGUUGUACCCACAGUGACUAUUAAAAUCUACCCUUACCAGAAACAGUGGAUAGAUGCCGGCAUUCCCGUGAAACAUUGCAUUUAACCAUGAAAAGAUGACUGGGAAUAUGGCCGAAUAUAAACAGUGUAGUUAUUCCCUCUGCAAGGCAAUCAAACAAGCGAAAUGUCGGUAUAAGGACAAAUUGGAGUCACAAUUUAACAGCACAGACACGAGAUGUACACUAUCGUUCAAAAGUUUGGGGUCACUUAGAAAUGUCCUUGAUUUUGAAAGAAAAGCAAAUUUUUUGUCCAUUAAAAUAACAUCAAAUUGAUCAGGAAUACAGUGUACAGUGUACAGUACAGUGUAGAUGAAACCUCGCUUGAGAAAUAGUGUGGUCUACAGCUUAUCAUAAGAUACUCUACCUCAGGGGAGCAAAACCUUGAGAAUUCCUUAAUAUUGUAUUUUGUGCACCAGCUGUUAUUAUUAACAAAUAGACACAGACCAGCCACCCCUUGUCUUACCGGAGGCAGCUGUUCUAUCUUGCCGAUGCACGGAAAACCCAGCCAGCUGUAUGUUAUCCAUGUCGUCGUUCAGCCACGACUCGGUUAAACAUAAGAUAUUACAGUUUUUAAUGUCCGGUUGGUAGGUUACUCUUGAUCGGACCUCAUUCAUUUUAUUAUCCAAUGAUUGCACGUUGGUUAAUAGAACUGAUGGUAGAGGCGGAUUACUCACUCGCCGUCAGAUCCUUACAAGGAACCCCGACCUACGUCCCCGAUAUCUCUAUCUCAUGCGAAUGAUGGGGAUUGGACCUUGUCCGGUGUCUGAAGUAAAUCUGUGUCCGAAUCGUUAAAGAAAAAUCUUUGUCCAGUACGAGGUGAGUAAUCGCUGUCCUCAUAUCCAGAAGCUCUUUUCGGUCAUAAGAGAUUGUGGCAGAAACAAUAUGUACAAAAUAAGUUACAAAUAAGGUGAAAAACACACACAAUAGCACAACUGGUUAGGAGCCCAUAAAACAGCAGCCAUCUCCUCCGGCACCAUCACCACCAUUUCGACCAGAAGUACGACUUUCCUGAAUUGGAUUCUUUGUUGAACCUCCCAAGGCGAUUCCACUUAUUCCAGAGGCUUCUCCAAGAUGCCACCUGCAGAGAAGAGGCAUUCGGAGGGGACUUUUAGUCCAACUCAGGAGGCGAUGCCUACCAUCCACUGUUUCUGAGUAUAUUACUCAGUCCCUGUAAAAGGAAGUAGAUGAACUCAGGGUGUGGAUCUCCUUCCAGAGAAACAUCAGGGACUGCAACAUACUCUGUUUCACAGAAUCAUGGCUCUCUCCGGAUAUACUGUCCCCGUCCAUACAGCCAGCUGGGUUCUCGUACAUCGCGCAGACAGGAAUUGUUCCUCUCCGGGAAAAAUAAAGGCGGAGGUGUGUUUCAUGAUUAACUACGAAUGGUCUGAUUGUGAUAACGUACAGGAACUCAAGUCCUUUUGUUCACCCGACAAAGAAUUUCUCACAAUCAAAUGCCGAAAGCAUUACAUGCCGAGAUCAUUUUCUUUGGUCAUCGUCACAGCCAUGUAUGUUUCCCCUCAGGCCGAUACCACGAUGGCUCUCAAGGAACUACACUGGACUUUGUACAAACUAGAAACCGCAUAUCCUGCGGCUGAAUUUAUUGUAGCUGGGAACUUUAAUGAGGCAAAACUGAGGGAAACGCUACCAAAGUUUUAUCAACACAUUGCCUGCGCUACUCGCACAUGAAAAACUCUCAACCAUUGCUACUCUCCUUUCUGGGAUGGCUACAAGGCCCCCGCCCUCCCUUCGGCAAAUCAGAUCACACCUCCAUUCUGCUCCUCACUUCAUAUAGACAGAAACUGAAGUACCCAUGGUAAGGACUGUCCAACGUUGUUCUGACCAAUCGGAGUCUAUGCUUCAAGAUUGUGUUGAUCACGUGGGCUGGGAUAUGUUCCGGGUUGCCUCUAAGAAUAACAUUGACACUGACACGGUGACUGAGCUAAUCAGGAAGUGCAUAGGGGAUGUUGUUCCCGCUGUGAUGAUUAAAACCGAUCCAAACCCAAAACCGUGGAUAGAUGGCAGCAUUCGCGCAAAACUGAAAACUUGAACCAUUGUAUUUAACCUCGGCAUAGUGACUAGGUUUAUGGUAGAGUACAAACAGUCCAGUUAGGCUCUCAAUAAGGCAAUCAAACAGGCGAAACGUCAGAACAGAGGCAAAGUGGAGUCGCAAAUCAACAGCUCAGACACAAGACAUAUGGGGCAGGGACUCCAAACAAUCUCAGAUUAUAAAGGGAAAAUCAGACACGUCGCAGACACUGACGUCUUGCUCUCGGACAAGCUAAACACCUUCUUUGCACAUUUCAAAGAAAACACAGUGCCUCCAAUGUGGGCCGCUGAAGCGGGCCACCGAGGCUCACGAAGAUGGAGAGCUCUUGUUAUCCGUGGCUAAUUCUGUUGUCCCCACUUGCCUCAAGAUGUCCACAAUUGUUCCUGUACCCAAGAAAGUGAAGGUAACUGAACUAAAUUACUAUCGACCUGACUCACUCACUUCUGUCAUCAUGA